rnacentral:rRNA from 1 species
UACGUAGGCAGCAAGCGUUGUUCGGAUUCAUUGGGCGUAAAGGGUGCGUAGGUGGCGCUGUAAGUCGGGUGUGAAAUUUCGGAGCUUAACUCCGAAACUGCAUUCGAUACUGCGGUGCUCGAGGACUGGAGAGGAGACUGGAAUUCAUGGUGUAGCAGUGAAAUGCGUAGAGAUCAUGAGGAAGACCAGUGGCGAAGGCGGGUCUCUGGACAGUUCCUGACACUGAGGCACGAAGGCCAGGGGAGCAAACGGG